UACGAAGGAUCCAAGCGUUAUCCGGAUUUAUUGGGUUUAAAGGGUGCGUAGGCGGCGCGGUAAGUCGGGUGUGAAAUCUCGGGGCUUAACUCCGAAACUGCAUUCGAUACUGCCGUGCUUGAGGACUGGAGAGGAGACUGGAAUUUACGGUGUAGCGGUGAAAUGCGUAGAUAUCGUAAGGAAGACCAGUGGCGAAGGCGGGUCUCUGGACAGUUCCUGACGCUGAGGCACGAAGGCCAGGGGAGCAAACGGG
rnacentral:rRNA from 1 species